rfam:Cuculus canorus isolate BGI_N303 unplaced genomic scaffold scaffold283, whole genome shotgun sequence.
GUACUUUGGCAGCACCUAUACUAAAACUAGAACAGUACAGAGAAUAUAGGCAUGGCUGCUGUGCAAGGAUAACACAAUUAAUGAAGAAAUCCUUGGAACAUCU